AUCCUUCCUCGAGCCUUUGGCUAAGAUCAAGUGUAGUAUCUGUUUCUUAUCAGUUUAAUGUCUGUCCAUAUCCUCUAUGUAGGGGACUACAUGUUAAGCAGUUGCCGCAUGAGGGCAGGAAUUUUGGGCUGCUCACUUUCUCUCAUGUCAGCCUAGCAUUGCCCAAUUAUCGCUUUGAGGCAGUGCCACU